GUGCCAGGGACCAGCUGUCUUAGGCCUGUCCUGGAAUUGUCAGUUACACGAGCCAAAAAUAUCCCCUGGCAUGCUUGAGCAAGUUUGAGUUGUGUUUCUAGCCAACUAAGAAGAGUCCUUAAGCCAGCCUGGAUAAAAUCACUGUCAUUUGGAGGAAAGAGUCUUGGGGUGUUGAGAGAAUUACCCUUCAUGUUCCAAAGCGGCCUCCACAGCUUCCGUUCUUGCUCUGGGGCUGGUGCUCCUGCCCAGGCAGGGUUAGAGGGGGAUCCCAGAGAUCAGGGUGUCGGCCUUGCAGGAGUGCAUUCUGUUGAUGGUGAAGCCUCAAGCACAUCUGGAGCCUGAGCUGCAAGGGCGCCCGGGAGAUGCGGUUACCAGCCUCGACAGAGAAGGAUGGUGUCCCAGGAGCUAGAGUCGGUACCAGUGCCCUUCACAGGCCACCCUUUGCCGAUUUGACUCUGGAGAGCCCCUUCCAGCUGGCCCUGACGCCUUCUGACAGCUCAGCACCCCCUGUGCGAACACCACCUCACCCCUCUGAAAUUCCCACGGGCACGCGGUACUUCUCUGGUGCAGCAAAGGGUGGUUCCUGAAUGGUUACGGGUUUGAGACAAGAUAAGUACAGAAAUUGAGAAGAAGCAUUUAGAAACUUUUGUAGCAAUUUUCUGGGUAAUUUUAUGUCUGUUGAAUCUAAUAGAAAAAUUUGGACUUGUAUUUUGUGUCUUUUUUCCUUUUAUUUUUCCAGUCAUUCAUUUUUAUCGUAUUUUACAAAAGUACUGGUUUGUGACAAAUUGAAAAUAAAAAAAUGUAUCCU
rnacentral:lncRNA from 1 species